rnacentral:tRNA from 1 species
GGUUAGUAGCCUUCGAAGAAGGCAAAAAACGCCUGAUUGUGGUUCAGGAGGUCGCCGGUUCAAGUCCGGUCUUCCACCC